rnacentral:rRNA from 1 species
UACGUAGGGUGCAAGCGUUGUCCGGAAUUAUUGGGCGUAAAGAGCUCGUAGGCGGUCUGUCGCGUCUGCUGUGAAAACUCAGGGCUUAACCCUGAGCUUGCAGUGGGUACGGGCAGACUAGAGUGCGGUAGGGGAGACUGGAAUUCCUGGUGUAGCGGUGAAAUGCGCAGAUAUCAGGAGGAACACCGGUGGCGAAGGCGGGUCUCUGGGCCGAUACUG